rnacentral:lncRNA from 1 species
GUAGAACUCACUUUCCCUUCAGUUAGCACAAACAGAUCUGAGCCUGGUAAUACCUACUCAAGCUUCCUACGUGGAACUGGCACCAAAACUGAAGUUUUCUCAGGGCGGUCACUUACUAGAUAAGAAAGGCCUGCUGUUUCCCUCUGUGCCCAGAGCUGACACUGAGCCAUAGUCCUCUGUACCUGGUCCCGCUGGGAGAGGGAUGUGCUCCCAGGACUGCUG